CGGGUUCAGGCGAGCAGAGGGCCUGUGGGAGCCGCAGAGAGAAACGGAAGAGACGUCGAGGACAGGCCUGUAAGAAGAGAACGAUCUGGAGGCAGGCCGUCCUGCCAGACGCCCACGUGGGAAGAAAAUCAGACGUUAUUAACACUGUACAGACGGAUCCCCUCACCCAUCUUCCUGCCCCUCCUUUCCUGUGUACGUCUGACAGGCACAGACAACCAUGAAAAGUGACCUGAGUGCCCACGGUGAAGCAUGCGGAGAGGAGGUGAAAGGUGUCAUGUCGUGAAGGAGUGCCCGGUGAUUUCACAGAAGACUUGGACUUGGAAAUGGACACCUGCGCUGGGCGUGUUACUCCGCUGCCACCAGAGCCUCGUCACUAUUUCCACACGCAUUUCCUUGAUCGGAGAAUCCAAAAUCACUCACUUUAGCUGAUACAGAAUGAAGGAUAAUAAUAGCACAGCCCUGAGGCCGACACCGUUUCCAGGCUACCACCUUUUCCGCGGCAUCGCUCCGUCCUUGGUGCCAGUUGCCAUGAGAUAACGCCUUGGUGUUGGCAUCCAGAAUGCAGAAUCUUGAGCAACACUUUGUUUCCAAUGUGUCAGAAUCCUACAGACAGGAUUCCUUCAGAUCAUUGUGGUCCAGUAAUUUCACAAUGGGAUGCUGUCUUCACAACAUAACCAGAAAAGUAGGAGAGGUGUGGGCACAUGGGCUCCCACGAGGGCAUGACAGUCCGUAGUUGCUCCUGGCCUCCCGUCUCGCUCUCCCUGCAACACCGGUGCACAGACGCACCCACCCACAGGUCGUACACACUCGCUACUCUCAGCCGCCUUCCUUUAUCUUUGAAUCGACCCUGCACGCCUCUCCUCCUCGUGGAGUCUUCCCCACCCUGCGUGACUGGUUUCUGCCUCCCGUGUGCCCUAGCGUUCUGUCUUCUUGUUCUUUACGUGCAGGUCACAGUGGCAGUCAUGGGAUGGUUCAUGUAGUUGUGUUUCUUAUUUAAUGUUCUGUAAGGAAUGAAGUCGUGUCUCGGUUACUGCUGCACUUUCUACCCCGAAUAGCAUGAGCAAAUGUUCACUGAACGUUUGUUAAAUGAAAAGAGAGUGAAAUGUUGGAAUCACCUAAAUGCCCAACCGUUACAGUACAGGCAGGAAUACUUUCUGAUCAUUUACAUUUUUGUUUUCAUAGUUUUUUAGUGCCGAGGGAAAUUGCCUUUUCUGAUAGCAUUAGUUUUGUGAAAACCAAAACCAAAACAUGAAAGUUGCUGGAAAGAAAUACACCAAAAUGUUCACAGUGGUUAUUGCUAAAGUGGAGAACUAUGUUCUUGUAUGUUUACUUUAAAAUAGGCAUGUAUUAGUUUUAUAGCCAGAAAAACAUAGUUUGUUUCGUUUUUAAAUUGAUUUAAGCCUAAGUUAUGGAAAAAGUACCUCUGAGGCAUAGGGAAGUUGCAAGUAAAACCGGGUUUAAAAACAGAUUUCAGUAAAAUAUUUCCAAGUUUUAUUUCUUUUGAGGGAGAGACAGAUCACUCAUGUAAGAGCAAGCAUGAGUGGGGGAGGGGCAGAGAGAGAGAGAAAGAGAGAGAGAGAGAAUCUCAAGCAGGCUCUGCUAUCUCAGAGCCCAACAUGGGGCUCGAUCCCACAACCCUGGGAUCGUGACCUGAGCCGAAAUCAAGAGUCAGAUGCUUAACUGACUGAGCCACCCUGGCACCCUUCAAUAAAACAAUAUUUUAAAUGCUCCAUUUGAAGAGAAGCCUCAUCAGGAGAAUGGAUAGUAGCUAGAUGGAGUGGUACCUUCCCAAAGGACCACCGUCUGACAGAGAACAGAAUAAAGUACAGCAACACAUUGACAACAGAUAAAGCCUGCAAGAAAACAUAUAGUGCUAUUGAUAAAAUGAAAUCAGUGUAUAAUAGCAAUCUUGCAAAUGUUUAAGAUAUAUAAAAAUAUGAUUAAUUGUUUAGGAUACAUUUAUUGUAAAGGUACGGAGAAAUACGUAGUGUGACAUGUGGUGAUACGAAACUCACAAGAAUGGUUUCCUUUGUUGAGAGAGGGGUUUGUGGCUGAGGAGAGAGAAAAGGGAGGUUUGAUUUUUUUAACCAAGUGGUGGAUAUGGGUGUUAUUGCAAAAUUGUACUUUUGUGUGCGUUGUAAUAUUUUAUAGUGUCCUGAAAUUUCAUAACAUGUUUUGAAAUAAAAGUAAAACUGAAGGGAAUCUGCCACUAACUCUUUCGUAAACAAAGAUUCUUUUGUAAAUAGGGGCAGCAUGCUUUCUGUGGUCUGUAAACUCAGAUUCUCUUUCACUCUCCCUCCUUCCUUCCUGCCCAGUCUCUCUCUUUCUCUUUCUGUCUCUCUGUCUCU